UACGGAGGGUGCAAGCGUUAAUCGGAAUUACUGGGCGUAAAGCGUGCGCAGGCGGUUUGUUAAGUCUGCUGUGAAAUCCCCGAGCUCAACUUGGGAAUUGCAGUGGAUACUGGCAAGCUGGAGUACGGUAGAGGAAGGUGGAAUUCCCGGUGUAGCAGUGAAAUGCGUAGAUAUCGUGAGGAACACCAGAGGCGAAGGCGGCUACCUGGACAAUUGCUGACGCUCAGGCACGAAAGCGUGGGGAGCAAAAGGG
rnacentral:rRNA from 1 species